ACCCUUUUGGGGUCGCAUCUGGAGAGUUUCCAGUACUCUAUCAGUCUAGGCUAUGGGAGGGAGAGUCAAAUAGAGGCCUACCCCUUCCAUUCCUAGCUUGGACAGUGGCUAGCGAGUGGAAGGUAAUCUGCUACAAGU